CCUAAUACAUGCAAGUCGAACGAGUUCUCGUUGAUGAUCGGUGCUUGCACCGAGAUUCAACAUGGAACGAGUGGCGGACGGGUGAGUAACACGUGGGUAACCUGCCCUUAAGUGGGGGAUAACAUUUGGAAACAGAUGCUAAUACCGCAUAGAUCCAAGAACCGCAUGGUUCUUGGCUGAAAGAUGGCGUAAGCUAUCGCUUUUGGAUGGACCCGCGGCGUAUUAGCUAGUUGGUGAGGUAAUGGCUCACCAAGGCGAUGAUACGUAGCCGAACUGAGAGGUUGAUCGGCCACAUUGGGACUGAGACACGGCCCAAACUCCUACGGGAGGCAGCAGUAGGGAAUCUUCCACAAUGGACGCAAGUCUGAUGGAGCAACGCCGCGUGAGUGAAGAAGGCUUUCGGGUCGUAAAACUCUGUUGUUGGAGAAGAAUGGUCGGCAGAGUAACUGUUGUCGGCGUGACGGUAUCCAACCAGAAAGCCACGGCUAACUACGUGCCAGCAGCCGCGGUAAUACGUAGGUGGCAAGCGUUAUCCGGAUUUAUUGGGCGUAAAGCGAGCGCAGGCGGUUUUUUAAGUCUGAUGUGAAAGCCCUCGGCUUAACCGAGGAAGCGCAUCGGAAACUGGGAAACUUGAGUGCAGAAGAGGACAGUGGAACUCCAUGUGUAGCGGUGAAAUGCGUAGAUAUAUGGAAGAACACCAGUGGCGAAGGCGGCUGUCUGGUCUGUAACUGACGCUGAGGCUCGAAAGCAUGGGUAGCGAACAGGAUUAGAUACCCUGGUAGUCCAUGCCGUAAACGAUGAAUGCUAGGUGUUGGAGGGUUUCCGCCCUUCAGUGCCGCAGCUAACGCAUUAAGCAUUCCGCCUGGGGAGUACGACCGCAAGGUUGAAACUCAAAGGAAUUGACGGGGGCCCGCACAAGCGGUGGAAGCA
rnacentral:rRNA from 1 species